CCCUUAGAUGUUCUGGGCCGCACGCGCGCUACACUGAUGCAUCCAACAAGCACUUUUUACCGAGAGGUGACAAGGAAUCUGUUGAAUAUGCUUCGUGAUGGGAACAAACAAUUGCAAUUUUUUGUUUCGAACGAGGAAUUCCUAGUAAAUGUGAGUCAUCAGCUCGCGUUGAUUACGUCCCUGCCCUUUGUACACACCGCCCGUCGCUCCUACCGAUUGGAUGAUCCGGUGAGUUUGCUAGACAAGCUGUCUGUACGUCGUAUAGUUGGCUGGAAAGGCAAGCAAACCUUAUCAUUUAGAGGAAGGAGAAGUCGUAACA
rnacentral:rRNA from 1 species